rnacentral:rRNA from 1 species
AAACUUUCAACAACGGAUCUCUUGGUUCUGGCAUCCAUGAAGAACGCAGC